rnacentral:rRNA from 1 species
CAGUCGCCACGGGAAUACGAAGGGUGCAAGCGUUAAUCGGAAUUACUGGGCGUAAAGCGCGCGUAGGUGGUUUGGUAAGAUGGAUGUGAAAUCCCCGGGCUCAACCUGGGAACUGCAUCCAUAACUGCCUGACUAGAGUACGGUAGAGGGUGGUGGAAUUUCCUGUGUAGCGGUGAAAUGCGUAGAUAUAGGAAGGAACACCAGUGGCGAAGGCGACCACCUGGACUGAUACUGACACUGAGGUGCGAAAGCGUGGGGAGCAAACAGGAUUAGAUACCCGCGUAGUCCCUGUCUCUUAUAA